UACGUAGGGGGCUAGCGUUGUCCGGAAUCAUUGGGCGUAAAGCGCGCGUAGGCGGCCCGAUAAGUCUGCUGUGAAAGUCCAGGGCUCAACCCUGGAAUGCCGGUGGAUACUGUCGGGCUAGAGUUCGGAAGAGGCAAGUGGAAUUCCUGGUGUAGCGGUGGAAUGCGCAGAUAUCGGGAGGAACACCUAUGGCGAAGGCAGCUCGCUGGGACGUUACUGACGCUGAGACGCGAAAGCGUGGGGAGCAAACAGG
rnacentral:rRNA from 1 species